rnacentral:rRNA from 1 species
GAUGAACGCUGGCGGUAUGCCUAAUACAUGCAAGUCGAACGAAGAUUGUAGCAAUACGGUCUUAGUGGCGAAUGGGUGAGUAACUCGUUGGUGAUCUGCCCCAAAGAGGGGGAUAACAGUUCGAAAGGACUGCUAAUACCCCCAUGUGGUUACGGAGAUUAGAAGACCGUAACUAAAGGAGCAAUCCGCUUUGGGAUGAACCUGCGUCCCAUCAGCUAGUUGGUAGGGUAACGGCCUACCAAGGCGACGACGGGUAGGGGACCUGAGAGGGUGGCCCCCCACACUGGCACUGAAACACGGGCCAGACACCUACGGGUGGCAGCAGUAGGGAAUAUUGCACAAUGGGCGAAAGCCUGAUGCAGCAACGCCGCGUGUACGAUGAAGGUCUUCGGAUCGUAAAGUACUUUUUGGGGAGAUGAGGAAGGACAGUAUCCUCAGAAUAAGAUUCGGCUAACUACGUG